rnacentral:lncRNA from 1 species
UACUUUAAACUCCUCAGGAAUCAUUGGAUUCUCUGAGAUAUGAUAAGAUUGUUGUAAUACGUUAAACUCCUCAGGAAUCAUUGGAUUCUCUGAGACAUGAUGAGAUUGUUGUAAUAAUUGAAACUCCUCAGGAAUCAUUGGAUUCUCUGAGAUAUGAUAAGAUUGUUGUAAUAAUUGAAACCCCUCAGGAAUCAUUGGAUUCUCUGAGAUAUGAUAAGAUUGUUGUAAUACGUUAAACUCCUCAGGAAUCAUUGGAUUCUCUGACACAUGAUGACAUUGUUGUAAUACGUUAAACUCCUCAGGAAUCAUUGGAUUCUCUGAGAUAUGAUAAGACUGUUGUAAUACGUUAACCUCCUCAGGAAUCAUUGGAUUCUCUGAGAUAUGAUAAGGUUGUUGUAAUAAUUGAAACCCCUCAGGAAUCAUUGGAUUCUCUGAGACAUAAUGAGAUUGCUGUAAUACUCUAAACUCCUCAAGAAUCAUUGGAUUCUCUGAGAUAUAAUAAGAUGGUUGUUAAAAUUUAAACCCUCAGGAAUCAUUGGAUUCUCUGAGAUAUGAUAAUAUUGUUGCAAUACGUUACACUCCUGAGGAAUCAUUGGAUUUUCUGAGAUAUAAUAAUAUUGUUAUAAUAAUUGAAACAUAAUGAGAUUGUUGUAAUACUUUAAAAUCCUCAGGAAUCAUUGGAUUCUCUGAGACAUGAUGAGAUUAUUGCAAUACUCUAAACUCCUCAGGAAUCAUUGGAUUCUCUGAGAUACGAUAUGAUUGUUGCAAUACUUUAAACUCCUCAGGAAUCAUUGAUUUCUGAGACAUGAUAAGUUGUUUAAUAUUGAAAUCCCUCAGGAAUCAUUGGAUUCUCAGAGAUAUGAUAAGAUUGUUGUAAUACGUUAAACUCCUCAGGAAUCAUUGGAUUCUCUGAGAUAUGAUAAGACUGUUGUAAUACGUUAACCUCCUCAGGAAUCAUUGGAUUCUCUGAGAUAUGAUAAGAUUGUUGUAAUAAUUGAAACCCCUCAGGAAUCAUUGGAUUUUCUGAGAUAUGAUAAGAUUGUUGUAAUAUGUUAAACUCCUCAGGAAUCAUUGGAUUCUCUGAGAUAUGAUAAGAUUUUUGUAAUAAUUGAAACUCCUCAGGAAUCAUUGGAUUCUCUGAGAUAUGAUAAGAUUGUUAUAAUACUU